GUGACCUCAAAUCAGGUAGGACUACCCGCUGAACUUAAGCAUAUCAAUAAGCGGAGGAAAAGAAACUAACAAGGAUUCCCCUAGUAACUGCGAGUGAAGCGGGAAAAGCUCAAAUUUAAAAUCUGGCAGUCUUUUGGCUGUCCGAGUUGUAAUCUAGAGAAGUGUUAUCCGCGCUGGACCAUGUACAAGUCUCCUGGAAUGGAGCAUCAUAGAGGGUGAGAAUCCCGUCUUUGACAUGGACUUCCAGGGCUUUGUGAUGCGCUCUCAAAGAGUCGAGUUGUUUGGGAAUGCAGCUCAAAAUGGGUGGUAAAUUCCAUCUAAAGCUAAAUAUUGGCGAGAGACCGAUAGCGAACAAGUACCGUGAGGGAAAGAUGAAAAGAACUUUGGAAAGAGAGUUAAACAGUACGUGAAAUUGCUGAAAGGGAAACGCUUGAAGUCAGUCGCGUCGUCCAGGGAUCAACCUUGCUUUUGCUUGGUGCACUUCCUGGUUUGAUGGGUCAGCAUCAAUUUUGACUAUUGGAAAAAGGUUAAGGGAAUGUGGCAUCUUUGGAUGUGUUUAUAGCCCUUGGUCACAUACAAUGGU
rnacentral:rRNA from 1 species